AUGCUACAGGCAGAUUUCUCCUUGGUGGUUGAAAGUGUCCCUAAUAUCACAGUAGAUGCAUCCUGUGAGUUGCAUUUAAUUGUCAGCCUGUUUGCCCCUUGUAUGACUCUAUUAGCAAAACCCAUGAGGAGUCAAGUGGGGCUUAUCCCCGUGCAGUCAGUAAGUAAUUAGCAAAUGUAAGAAUAAGGCAGAGGUGGAAAAAAAAAAACCACAGGGUUCCCAGAGUUUCAAUAGGUCAUGCUAGGGAUUUCUAACUCACAUUUUGUUCUCUACCACUCUCUAGGGGGGUUUCUUUGCUCCUUAGACCUUGGAAACUUCUAAGCAGAAUAAGAGAUCCUGUUUGGAGAUCUUAUCUUCAUGCCUCCUUUCUGGGUGUCCCUUUUUUCUUCUCUCUCACCAGCCUGGCAUUCCUCCUCCAUACCUCUUAAGUGCCAGAUUCUGUCAUCCUGGAUGGAGUGCAAAAGCUACAGUGUAAUCUCACAUUCUUUCAGGGCCACUGACCAGAGGAAACACAAGCUAGCCCGACCAGGCUCUCCUGAUGCUGACCAGCCAAUGGCCCUGCAGUUUCCUCUGUGUUUAGAAUUCCUUAUCUGGCAUUGCUAGCAAAUGCUCAAGCCCACAAGUCAACUAGAAGCUUAUCUGUAGGGCUGGAGCUUCAAAGAGAUAGCCAUACACUGUUCCUCGGGGUCAGAGGCUCUGUGACAGUGUGAGAUGGGAGGCUUUUGGGAUCAGUCAACUUAACACGGGUAACACAACUCAUUCACUUCUUUUGUUUUGAAACAGGGUUCAUUGCUUUCUCUUUUCUCAUUUGAGGAACACCUCUUGGUAUAUUAGUACAAGAAAAGUGUGGAAAAUUUAACAGGAAGUGGAAAGAACACAUUCCCUAAAGACUGUUGUUACUGGCUUUUCUAUAUGAAUGCUGGCCAGCCAUUGUUUUAUAUUUGUUACUAUGUUAUUAUUAUUUUGGUGUUGCUGGGAUUCU
ensembl:sense_intronic